UUAUGAAGUUAGCGGCGGACGGGUGAGUAACACGUGGGUAACCUGCCCAUAAGACUGGGAUAACUCCGGGAAACCGGGGCUAAUACCGGAUAACAUUUUGAACCGCAUGGUUCGAAAUUGAAAGGCGGCUUCGGCUGUCACUUAUGGAUGGACCCGCGUCGCAUUAGCUAGUUGGUGAGGUAACGGCUCACCAAGGCAACGAUGCGUAGCCGACCUGAGAGGGUGAUCGGCCACACUGGGACUGAGACACGGCCCAGACUCCUACGGGGAGGCAGCAGUAGGGAAUCUUCCGCAAUGGACGAAAGUCUGACGGGAGCAACGCCGCGUGAGUGAUGAAGGCUUUCGGGUCGUAAAACUCUGUUGUUAGGGAAGAACAAGUGCUAGUUGAAUAAGCUGGCACCUUGACGGUACCUAACCAGAAAGCCACGGCUAACUACGUGCCAGCAGCC
rnacentral:rRNA from 1 species